AGUGAACGCUGGCGGUAGGCCUAACACAUGCAAGUCGAACGGCAGCACAGUAAGAGCUUGCUCUUACGGGUGGCGAGUGGCGGACGGGUGAGGAAUACAUCUGAAUCUACUUUUUCGUGGGGGAUAACGUAGGGAAACUUACGCUAAUACCGCAUACGACCUACGGGUGAAAGCAGGGGAUCUUCGGACCUUGCGCGAUUGAAUGAGCCGAUGUCGGAUUAGCUAGUUGGCGGGGUAAAGGCCCACCAAGGCGACGAUCCGUAGCUGGUCUGAGAGGAUGAUCAGCCACACUGGAACUGAGCCACGGUCCAGACUCCUACGGGAGGCAGCAGUGGGGAAUAUUGGACAAUGGGCGCAAGCCUGAUCCAGCCAUACCGCGUGGGUGAAGAAGGCCUUCGGGUUGUAAAGCCCUUUUGUUGGGAAAGAAAAGCAGCAGGUUAAUACCCCGCUGUUCUGACGGUACCCAAAGAAUAAGCACCGGCUAACUUCGUG
rnacentral:rRNA from 1 species